rnacentral:lncRNA from 1 species
AUUCCAACUAAACAAUUCCUGUGGCCAUAAUGACUGGUAAGUAUAUAUACCAAAUAACCAGGAACGGUUAUGAAUAAGUAUUAGUGUUACGAAGUAAGCAGGGAAAAGUAGGCUAGGAUAGUACUCUCUUCCAAUCAGUCUUGUGAUCACAUGGACCUUGCGGUUAUCUUGUUUAUAAAUAAACUCAUCAUAGAUACCAGGAUUAAAUUUUGUAUUUACGCUGCAUGCGCGUUUCGUCUACAAAAGACUCAUAAAUGUCGCUGGAAUCCAAACAAGUUAAAAGGCCAAAUAAAGUACGAAAUUGAAGAGCAUUGAGGACCAAAAUUCCAAAAUGCUUUGACAAAUACAUUCAAGGUAUUACAAGAUAACAACAGAAAUGAUAUAGUACAUGAUUAUACAUCAUGAUAGUGGAACAGU